rnacentral:rRNA from 1 species
UACGUAGGGGGCAAGCGUUGUCCGGAUUCAUUGGGCGUAAAGAGCGUGUAGGCGGCCAGGUAGGUCGGUUGUGAAACUGGAGGCUCAACCUUCAGAGGUCGACCGAAACCAUCUGGCUAGAGUCCGGGAGAGGAGAGUGGAAUUCCUGGUGUAGCGGUGAAAUGCGCAGAUAUCAGGAAGAACACCCGUGGCGAAGGCGGCUCUCUGGGACGGUACUGACGCUGAGACGCGAAAGCGUGGGGAGCGAACAGG